GUUCUCCCUUCAGCAGCACAUAUACUAAAAUUGGAAUGAUACAGAGAAGAUUAGCCUGGCCCCUGUACGAGGAUGACAUGUAAAUUCUUGAAGCAUUCCCUGGUUUU
rnacentral:snRNA from 1 species